ACUUAGUUUGCUCAAACAAGGGAAUUAAAAACAAAAGGAAAGAAAGAAAAGCAAGCAAGGUGGAGAGCAAGAAUUGUUAGCAAAAUAAGCUUGUAGAUGACAGACGACGAGACUUCUUGUGAUCAUGUGAGCUAAUUCCAUAUGACUGUCCCAGAGUGGGUUUUGAAGUAAUGGCAAACCAGAGAGGAAGAGAAAUUUGGCAGAGAG